CUUGGUCAUUUAGAGGAAGUAAAAGUCGUAACAAGGUCUCCGUAGGUGAACCUGCGGAGGGAUCAUUACAGAGUUCGCGCCCUUACGGGUAGAUCUCCCACCCUGUGCUAUCGUCCCUGUGUUGCUUUGGCGGGCCGCUGGGCUCGACCCGGCCGCCGGCUCCGGCUGGCGCGCGCCCGCCAGAGGCCCUACAACUCUUGAUGUUUGUGAUGUCCGAGUACUAUACAAUAGUUAAAACUUUCAACAACGGAUCUCUUGGUUCUGGCAUCGAUGAAGAACGCAGCGAAAUGCGAUAAGUAAUGCGAAUUGCAGAAUUCAGUGAGUCAUCGAAUCUUUGAACGCACAUUGCGCCCUGUGGCAUUCCGCAGGGCAUGCCUGUUCGAGCGUCAUUUCAACCCUCAAGCUCUGCUUGGUGUUGGGCCUGGCCCGUUGCGGCCGGUCCUAAAAUCAGUGGCGGUGCCGCCUGGCUCUAAGCGUAGUAAUGCUCUCGCUCUAGGGUCCGGCGGUCGCUGGCCAGAACCCCAACUUCUAUGGUUGACCUCGGAUCAGGUAGGGAUACCCGCUGAACUUAAGCAUAUCAAUAAGCGGAGGA
rnacentral:rRNA from 1 species